AUGCAGUCGACGCUUCUUUCCUCCCGAGUGCUUGCACUCAAUUGGAAAGAGGAGUGGCGGACGGGUGAGUAACACGUGGGUAACCUACCCAUCAGAGGGGGAUAACACUUGGAAACAGGUGCUAAUACCGCAUAACAGUUUAUGCCGCAUGGCAUAAGAGUGAAAGGCGCUUUCGGGUGUCGCUGAUGGAUGGACCCGCGGUGCAUUAGCUAGUUGGUGAGGUAACGGCUCACCAAGGCCACGAUGCAUAGCCGACCUGAGAGGGUGAUCGGCCACACUGGGACUGAGACACGGCCCAGACUCCUACGGGAGGCAGCAGUAGGGAAUCUUCGGCAAUGGACGAAAGUCUGACCGAGCAACGCCGCGUGAGUGAAGAAGGUUUUCGGAUCGUAAAACUCUGUUGUUAGAGAAGAACAAGGACGUUAGUAACUGAACGUCCCCUGACGGUAUCUAACCAGAAAGCCACGGCUAACUACGUGCCAGCAGCCGCGGUAAUACGUAGGUGGCAAGCGUUGUCCGGAUUUAUUGGGCGUAAAGCGAGCGCAGGCGGUUUCUUAAG
rnacentral:rRNA from 1 species